UACGUAGGGUGCAAGCGUUAAUCGGAAUUACUGGGCGUAAAGCGUGCGCAGGCGGUUAUGUAAGACAGGUGUGAAAUCCCCGGGCUUAACCUGGGAACUGCAUUUGUGACUGCAUAGCUAGAGUACGGUAGAGGGGGAUGGAAUUCCGCGUGUAGCAGUGAAAUGCGUAGAUAUCAGGAGGAACACCGAUGGCGAAGGCAGGUCUCUGGGCUGACACUGACGCUCAUGCACGAAAGCGUGGGGAGCAAACAGG
rnacentral:rRNA from 1 species